rnacentral:ncRNA from 2 species
CGAUGAGGUAGAGGCCGCGGCUUAUAUCAGUAUAACGGACGAGAUACAGUGAAUAUUAAAGACUCCGUUAAAAAGGAUAAGCUGCCGAAGAGUGGAAUCAUUCCUGUUUUUCCACUCUGGCGAUGUUUUCGAACAGGAACAUCACUGUCACGUUUUUAUAAACGUGGGGAGCUAUCUUCGGA